UACGUAGGUGGCAAGCGUUGUCCGGAUUUACUGGGCGUAAAGAGCGCGCAGGCGGUCGGAUAAGUCGAAUGUGAAAGCCCCCGGCUCAACUGGGGAGGGUCAUUCGAUACUGUUCGACUCGAAGGCAGGAGAGGGAAGUGGAAUUCCCGGUGUAGUGGUGAAAUGCGUAGAUAUCGGGAGGAACACCAGUGGCGAAGGCGACUUCCUGGCCUGUUCUUGACGCUGAGGCGCGAAAAGCUAGGGGAGCAAACGGGG
rnacentral:rRNA from 1 species